rnacentral:rRNA from 1 species
UACAGAGGGUGCGAGCGUUAAUCGGAAUUACUGGGCGUAAAGAGCGCGCAGGCGGUCGUUCAAGUCGAGUGUGAAAGCCCCCGGCUCAACUGGGGAGGGUCACUCGAUACUGAUCGACUCGAAGGCAGGAGAGGGAAGUGGAAUUCCCGGUGUAGUGGUGAAAUGCGUAGAUAUCGGGAGGAACACCAGUGGCGAAGGCGACUACCUGGCCUGUUCUUGACGCUGAGGCGCGAAAGCUAGGGGAGCAAACGGG